UAGGGAAUCUUCGGCAAUGGACGGAAGUCUGACCGAGCAACGCCGCGUGAGUGAAGAAGGAUUUCGGAUCGUAAAGCUCUGUUGUUAGAGAAGAACGUUGGCAGGAGUGGAAAAUCUACCAAGUGACGGUAACUAACCAGAAAGGGACGGCUAACUACGUGCCAGCAGCCGCGGUAAUACGUAGGUCCCGAGCGUUGUCCGGAUUUAUUGGGCGUAAAGCGAGCGCAGGCGGUUCUUUAAGUCUGAAGUUAAAGGCAGUGGCUUAACCAUUGUACGCUUUGGAAACUGGAGGACUUGAGUGCAGAAGGUGAGAGUGGAAUUCCAUGUGUAGCGGUGAAAUGCGUAGUUAUAUGGAGGAACACCGGUGGCGAAAGCGGCUCUCUGGUCUGUAACUGACGCUGAGGCUCGAAAGCGUGGGGAGCAAACAGG
rnacentral:rRNA from 1 species